rnacentral:rRNA from 1 species
GACAGAGGAUGCAAGCGUUAUCCGGAAUGAUUGGGCGUAAAGGCGUCUGUAGGUGGCUUUUAAGUCCGCCGUCAAAUCCCAGGGCUCAACCCUGGACAGGACGGUGGAAACUACCAAGCUGGAGUACGGUAGGGGCAGAGGGAAUUUCCGGUGUAGCGGUGAAAUGGCGUAGAUAUCGGAAGGAACACCUGUGGCGAAAGCGGCUCACUGGACCAUUACUGACGCUGGAGGCACGA